rnacentral:rRNA from 1 species
AUGGUAUUCCAUAGCAUCCUUCCCAAGAUAGGCGCCCACUGGCUCGUCAACUUGUACCGCUCGGUCAGGAAACUCCGCAGCUUGCAGACCAAGCCAUCUACCGUUGCCGCCUCCGCGUGCACCAUCCCGGCUGCUGCCGGAAGGACGGUGCUGUGCGACUUCCACGGCGGGAUCCUGAGGUCCAGAGCUCUCUUCCCCUACUUCAUGCUCGUCGCCUUUGAGGGCGGUAGCAUUCUCCGGGCGCUACUCCUGCUCGUCUCCUUUCCUCUCGUAUGGAUACUCGGCGAGCACUCCGACGCCAGCCUCAGGGUCAUGGCGUUCGUCACCUUCGUCGGACUCAGGCCACGGGAUGCUGACCUCGUGGCCCGCGCCAUCCUGCCCAAGUUCUACAUGGAGAAGCUCAACGCGGAGGUGUACGAUCGCUUGUGGCUGCCGGCGAAGAGGAAGGUGGCGGUGACGAGCACGCCGAAGGUGAUGGCGGAGUGGUUCCUCGAAGAGUACAUGGCCGCGGACAUAGUUGUCGGGAAUGAACUUCAGAUGAUUAAGGUUGGUUGUCGCUGCUACUUCACCGGGCUGCUGGGCAGGUUAGGGCAAUUGCCGGGCGGCAUGACAGAGAAGGUGCUGAGAUCGGAGUUUGGAGUGGACGGCGGCAUGGCCGACGUUGCCGUUGUCGGGAGGUCCAACCCACUUAAUCAGCUCUUCACCUCCUACUGCAAGCUUAGCGUCGUGGCGAAAUCGGACAUGAUCAAUUUGAGGUCAGCCAUCUCCAGCUCCGAGCGCACCAUGCCGUCCGCUGCUGAUAGGACGGUGGUGUGCGACUUCCACGGUGGGCUCCUGAGGUCCACCAACAUCUUCCCCUACUUCAUGCUCGUCGCGUUCGAGGGCGGCAGCCCGCUCCGAGUGCUGGUGCUGCUCUGCUUCUUCCCCCUUGUAUGGAUACUCAGUGAGCGCUCCGACACCGGCGUCCGGAUCAUGACGUUCGUGACCUUCGUCGGGCUCAGGCCACGGGAUACGGACCUCGUGGCCCGCACCAUCCUGCCAAAGUUCUACAUGGAGAGGCUCCACACGCAGGUGUACAACCACCUGUGGCUGUCGGCCAAGAGGAAGGUGGCAUUGACGAGCACGCCGAGGGUAAUGGCGGAAUGGUUCCUCAAAGAGUACAUGGCUGCCAACGUGGUUGUCGGGUGCGAACUCCAGAUGGUUGAGGUAGGGCGCGUGUGGUAUUUCACCGGGCUGCUGUGCGGGACAGGACCAUGCCCGGGCUUGACGGAGAAGGCGUUGAGGGAGGCGUUCGAAGCGGACGACAACACGGCCGACGUUGCUGUCGUCGGGAGCUCCAACCCACUCGACCACCUCUGUACCCCCUACUGCAUUCCUUUGCGCUUUUCUUCUUUACUAUAG